GUUGCACUACUUCCUCCUUUUUGCUUCACUUUGUCGCAGUGUUCUCUCUCUCAUUCACCUUGUUCUCUGAUCUCUCUCUGUAUCCAUGUUUCUAACAUUGGAUUUCUUACGAAGUUCAUACAUUUUGUGGCUUAUUUGUUUCAUGUCUGAGCUCUCAGUUGUGAGUUGAAGGAGAAAUAGAGAAGGUGAAGGAUCUCGAGUUCUCAAUUGUGCUUUGUAAAGACAGGUUGGAUGAAAGAUACAUCUUUUAGAGCUUGUGGAAAUUUUCGGAGGUUCGGAAGUGUCUUACUUAUACGUCCAUAGCCAGGUUGAAUGAAAGAUGGAUCUCUCAAAGCUUGAGGAAAAAUAUCAUCAUCUCUAGAGGUUUGAAAGUUGGAAUAUGUUUGUUAGAAUUAUUACAAACAACUCUUCAUUUGAAGGACACUUCAUAAUCGUUUGAAUAUUUCUGUAAACUUUGUUCCUCAAUCCAAGUAAAUAUUGUGAAGUGUUAAUAUGUUGUACACAUGA